UGGAUGAAGACAUAAUGGAGAGUUGGUUUAACCCAAUUGGAUUGGGUUAGAGAAUGGCUAUCAUAAUUGACCAUUGGAUUUUAAUCCCACCAUUGGAUGAAGACAUAAUGGGUCAAGUAAAUGGCGCCUUGCAUUGGAGCCCUUGGAUCAUCAUCAUGAAAGAUCAAGAGGUGAGGCGUGAUGGACAUGUGAUUAGCAUGUGAUGUUGACUUGGUCAAAAUAUGGCACCACAUGAAAGGACAUAUUAUUUGAUACACCUCCUCACUUGAUCUGCACCUCCUCUUAUUUGAUAUGGCCCUUAGAUGAUGUCCUUUCAUGAAAGGAUGUGUGGAUGGGAUGCAUCCCUUGGAGAUGCAUCCCUACACCUAUUAUAAAUAGGCUAGCACUCCAUGGAUUUCAUCAUUCCAACUCCACCCCACUCCUCUCUUCUUUCUUUCUUACAUUAGUUUCUUUCUUUUAGCAUUGCUUCUAGUGUGUCCUAAGCCAAGACAAGGUGGUCUUCUUUAGGACAAAAGG
rnacentral:lncRNA from 1 species